rnacentral:rRNA from 1 species
UACGGAGGGUGCAAGCGUUAUCCGGAUUCACUGGGUUUAAAGGGUGCGUAGGAGGGCAGGUAAGUCAGUGGUGAAAUCCCCGAGCUUAACUUGGGACUGCCGUUGAUACUAUCUGUCUUGAAUACCGUGGAGGUGAGCGGAAUAUGUCAUGUAGCGGUGAAAUGCUUAGAUAUGACAUAGAACACCAAUUGCGAAGGCAGCUCGCUACACGAAUAUUGACUCUGAGGCACGAAAGCGUGGGGAUCAAACAGGG